AUGGCAAUCAUGACAUGUGUGACAUGUCAUGAUUGCCUUUGAUUGAAUAAAAGGCAAUCAUGACAUGUGUGACAUGUCAUGAUUGCCUU